rnacentral:rRNA from 1 species
GGGCCCGCACAAGCGGUGGAGCAUGUGGUUUAAUUCGAUGAUACGCGAGGAACCUUACCAGGGCUUAAAUGUAAGUUGCAUUAGUUAGAGAUAGCUAUUUCUUCGGACCACUUACAAGGUGCUGCAUGGUUGUCGUCAGCUCGUGCCGUGAGGUGUCAGGUUAAGUCCUAUAACGAGCGCAACCCCUGUUGUUAGUUGCCAGCGAGUCAUGUCGGGAACUCUAACAAGACUGCCGGUGCAAACCGUGAGGAAGGUGGGGAUGACGUCAAAUCAUCACGGCCCUUACGUCCUGGCUACACACGUGCUACAAUGGUAGUGACAGAGGGCAGCCACUGGGUGACCAGGAGCGAA